rnacentral:tRNA from 1 species
AGAAACUUAGGAUUAAACCCACAAAACCGGAGGCCUUCAAAGCCUCAAACAAGAGACAUGACCUCUUAGUUUCUG